ensembl:lncRNA
GAGCACCUGUCCCCAGCAUAGUGUUGGGAUGAGACGUGCCUCAGGAAGGUGUCCCUCACCCAUGGCAUUCCCCCCUCCCUGCCUCUCCCCAUGGAGACCAACCUCCCCUUUCAACCAAGGAGCCAUCACCACUGAGAGCACACACUCCUCUUAACAAACACCCAUCCAGAUGGCCCAAAACAAGGAGGUGCUCCAUCAGUGAUUCAGGCCAUGACUUAACAGUCCCCAUACAAUGAUGCACAAACAUCUUCACCAUUCCUGAGAAGAGAGCUCCAAAAGUAAGGGAGAUCGUGGUUGCUGGUGGUGG